CGUUGAAGCUGAGGAUGAGGAAACCCAAAACGGUCGGCCAGGGGAAGCAGCUGUUAUCACCAUUGUUCUCCGGUUGGGGGUGGUGGUUGGCCUCCUGAUCGACCAGGAGACGCUCAUCCACCGCGGCGGCAUUCACUGGCUGACCGGCCAUGGCUGCUUGGGGCGCCGUCAUGACUGGAGGUGAGGGCUCUUCGUCGAGCUAGGAAAGUGGGUUUUGUGGGUGGAAACAGAAUGUAGCAGGAAAGCUUGGGUUGUAGGAGAGAAAAAGCUUUCACAAUCUCAAGCUAAAGCAAACGAGAACAUCUUCACGGCGCAACUCUGAACUAGAACAGACUGCAACAUAAUAAUCUGCUUCUUACCAGCUUGAAGGCCACGCUUGUUUCAACCUGCUUGCUAAAACCUGCAGAAUGAAGGCAAGUGUUGGAUUGUAACAAUCCUACAAGUCACAAAUAUGAGACUUGUUUGUUCAGCGCACAGAUUAAAACAAACUGUGUGCCACAACCCAUAAAUCUGAAAGCUAAAAGCCUAGAAACACACAAGGCUCCUGGUCGCCAAGGGCUGCCGUGGAGUCGACGCUGUGGUGCUUCGUGACCUGGUGGAGUUUUAUAGGCUUAUAGCUACCACGAAGGCACGAAGCUUCGAGGAAACUUACGAGAUGGUUACACUGGGCCCCACGGUGACACUGACAAGUGCUCCUGUGAGUCGUCUCGCUCCUCCUCGUGGAACUUCACGCAAUCACACGGCUUUGCCGGCCUUCGACCUUCCUCGCCAUUUCCUUGUCACGCGUUUGGCGGACUUUGACACUUUGUAUAGACUAUUUAUGGCCUUGUUUAGUUUUUAAAAAAUUUUCAAGAUUUUUCGUCACAUCAAAUCUUUAGAUCAAAUCUUUGAACAUAUGCAUGAAGCAUUAAAUAUAGAUAAAAAGAAUAACUAAUUGCACAGUUUGUUUGUGAGACAAAUCUUUUAAGCCUAAUUAGUCCAUAAUUGAACAAUAAUAACCAAAUACAAACGAAAAUGCUACACUAUUCAAAACCAACAAAUUUUCCCAACUAAACAAGGCCAUAGCCCAUAGGCCAUAGGGGUGGGGUGUGUGCGGCGCACGUCAACUUAUUCGCUCAGCUGACACUCUUCGUAUCUUAUACGUAGCAUUAUAUAUGGCACACAAAGAUUGAAAAUCUUGCAAUUUGCAGUGCAGCUUACAUUGGCCAGCAGUCAAAUUGUUUAUUAGCGACUUCUUCAAAACUAGGCAACUCCGUCCUCUCUGAAAUUUCCGAUCCAUGAAGGCCCAAGCCCAACCCAACCAGAAUUUCCAUAUUUGAAACUCUUAGAUCUCUUCCUGUUCUGGCGAUGACUGACCACGAUUUGCAUUCAAACCAAACCAGUGGACCUGUUCGAAAGUUAUGCCAAUAUUCUGCAAAUAUAACUCCCGAGUGCCACGGCAAUGCCUGGUCCUAUCCAGUAGUUGUGGCAUUGUGGCUGCUGAGUAGCCACACCUGGUCACUAAUCACUAAUCUGAUUAAUUAGUGCACCUUAACCUGCUUCGCUGCAUUUCAAACUCAUUUCAGACCAGCGUACACCUCCAUACAGCACGUAACGUUGUAUUACAAAUUGCAAGAUACAAAAAAAAAGCGCUUUGAUAUGAGAAUAUUUUCGGUGACUGAAUAAUCAGUUGCAUUCAGGAUUACCCUAGCACCAUGGCUAUAAUAGUUACUGUAGAGUAGAGCACACCAUAAGAGUUAGAGAUAGGGUUACUAGUAAUCUUUGUCUCUUGAUAUGCCCUGUAUAUUAUAGUGGAGUAUCUGUCAAAUAUGAAUUUAUGCAUGGCGUACUUCAAUGCAGUAGCAAAAGCAUCAGUUCGCGUAAACAAACCAGAUAUGUGAUCUAUGAAAGCCCUAAUAAUGCAUCUUUAAGCCGAUUUAAGAUGCCAUACUGUUCAAGUUCAUGAUUUUCUAAACUUAAAUAGUAUUUUCCAAUUUGGAGCACCAAAAAUGAUUUAUUUGAGAGUAUGUAUAUGUCAGAUCCGCCUAAUUUCCAUGAAAGAUUUCUACUACUUUCCAACACAACAAUGAACCAGGCAAUUAAACUCUAUGGUCCAGUUUGGAUAGUAGAAAGUUCUUGUAUAUCUAUCUCCAAAUGGUCCAAAAGCAAUGCCUCCGUGGUUCUAAUGUAAGGAAUUGAGAUUUAGGUCUUUAUACCAAACUUGAUACACCACUGAAUUUGUAAAAGGUCCACCAUCAUCUUCAUGAUGUACAGUUGUGACUUUUGAGAAACAAUUGCUUCCAGAAGAAAUUUCGGAAAGACAGAGAAACGUCAUGGUGCUUUCUGAUUUAUCUUUUGACUUGAAAGAAACUAUAUUUAAAAAGUUUAAGGAAACAGUUUUUUCGCAGCUCUUUGUAAAAUGGAAAGCAGUUUUAUUAAUCCCAUUCGUUCUUUUCAGCGAAAUCUUUCUUUAAAGAAUCGAUCGAGGAAUAUGUACCCUUCUCAGGUUCUCAUAGACUGGCUUAGAAAUUAUGCAAAUGAGGCCUGCUUCAACAAUCAAUUAAUAAAAAGCUAUUAUGCACAAGAAGAUAGAUUCUUUUUUAGUUGGAUGUGCUGAUGCAAGAUGGAUGACUCACGGGUCAUGAUACAAAAGGUUUUAUGUUAACUUAGCCACUAAUAGCCCUCCAGAAAAGCAUUUCUACAGACAAAGUAGUAUGUAGAAAUACAAAAAGAUAUUCAACAGAAUACAUGUUAAGAAAACCAGGGAAAAAACCAAGUAGAAUACAUGUUAAGAAUACCAGUGAAAGGAUUGAAAUAGACUACGUGUUCAGCAUACCUGCAUAAGGAUUCAAUCAAGAAGAUCUUCCUUUUCAAGUUAUAAAUUCUGUUUCCGCCGUAACCUGCAAAGCUCAUCUGUUGCCAGAAAUUCCUGCCCAAUUCAUCAGUUGGCUAACAUUCCUGUCAUAUCCAUCAGUUGCUUAACAUUUCCUGCUAGAUCUGUCCAUUGCCUAACAGAAUUGCAAGUCCCAGAACGUUUCACUCCCAUUUCCAAAAUAAAUUCAUCAGCUACCUAACAGUCCCGCCAAACUGUUUUAAAACAUUCUAUAGUUUAUAAAAAGUGCCUGAGGAAAACCGAAUAGUCAUGCUUAUACACAUUCAAAAACAAGAAUUCUCUUUCUUUAGAAGUUAGCUACUGUUGGACUUUCUGAAAGUUAACUAGGUUAUGUUAAAAAUUCUUGACCAAAAGAAUGUGAUUGCCAAAAAAAUAGCUUAUGCAAUAUUACGAGCUUGUAUAACUUGAUGUGCCCUAUAUGUAUACAGGAUACUAACAAUCAUGUAAAUCUUACUGUUAGUCUGUUACUAAUUAGAUGCUUGUUUUGAAGCAUCGAUAUUAAUCCUAACAAGAUGCGCUAUGAAAAAAAGAGAAAUCCCAUUAUUAUUACUAAUUAGAGUGUCAUACGUCUAAUGGAGGGCCCAGGAGAGGGGGCCACGACCACCGGAGGGCUGGCUUCCCGCUGUGCCGCCGACAUCUAGAUCUAGGAGGAUAGGAUCAGCUUGCUUGGACGACAAGAUUAUAUUGCUUAGGGGCUAAGUCUCCAGGACUAUAAAUACAUGGGCGAUGUAAACUUUCAAUCUUAAGCACGAGUAUAUCCCCUCCUCUCCUUUCUAAGCCUCAGUCCUCUUCCCUGCGCCUCCCUCUCUCCCCUGUGCCGACGCCUCUAGACCCCUAAAGCCUAGCCGCUGCCACACCUUGGGCCCCCCUCCCCACCGGGUCUCUGUUACUAAUUAGAUCUUGCUCAUUUCGAAGCAUCGCUAUUAAUCCUAACAAGUUGCGCUAUAAAAAAAGAGAAAUCCCAUUAUUAUUACUAAUUAGAGUCUCCUUUUGGUGCUUUAAUGUCAGUCCUCAUGGCACACACUAUAAAAGAUAUAGGCCUUGGAAAUUCUUAUAAAAAACAGAAAACAUCCGGUUAUCGAUUCAAUUAGAGGCUCUCUUUGAAGUUUCCACAUUAAUAAUCAUCAGACGUGCUAGAAAAAAAAUGAUAACCUUUCUUAAAAAUAAGAAAAUAUCUACACACUAAAGUAAACUCAAUCAUGACUAACAAGUAACAAUAACAGCCAAUGGAUCUAUUCUGGUUUCUAAAAAAACACCUCUGCCACUAUGAAAUAGUCCAAACCCUAUAUCUAUAUCUAAAUUACAGAAUUACCCACAUUUAUCAGAAUGAAAAAUAACAAAUAACCACAUUUGCAUCUAAAUUACCCACCUAUGCCAUUAUAAAAAUAAAUUAAAGUAACAUCCUAAAUUGCAUAUAAAUCACCCACCUUCUACUUCUGCAGAGAUAUCCGACAAAUUACCCAACUCCACUACUGUUAGAGUAACAUAAUGCAACCCCUAAAUAUGCAUCUAAAUUACUUUCAUUACAUCUGCCAGUAUAUAUAAGUAAAGUAUCCAAAAGUACUCCUAUAUAUGAUUCUAAACUACCCCAAUUUUUACCUUGUUAAUGUAGAAAAAAAAAACUAACGUGUAUACGAAUGCAGUAAGUGAUGACUAUACGAUUUCCAUGCCAAAUACAAAGCUCAAGCUACGUUUCAACUAAACACAUCUGAAAUGCACAUGGAAGUGUGAUACUAAGGUGGAAAACUAUGAAUAAGGAAGGAAAUGUAGAUAAAGUAAUAGGUAACUAGAGCUCAUCACAUACUAAUAAAGAUAAGAAAAGGUAUAGAUGAGUAUUGUCUCAGAGUAUAAAUCGAUGAGUGGCUGAAGAUAAGCUAUUUUGAUUAGCUAAGGCCCUUAAAUGUGUCCAUGAAUAUCUUAUAACAAUUAUUGCCCCCAAGGAAAGGGCAACUGAAAUAACACUAUGCCAUCAAUUUUGAGUUAUUUUUAAUAGGUUCUAAAGAAGCUCGGACCUUGGGGAACAGACUACCCGAGUAUUAAGCAAAGAAUAUGUUUUCUCGCUGCAAGACCAAGAAAAACACACCAAAUGUCCCCACUCACAGAGGGCAUUUGUUUAGGAUCAGCCAGGGCGCACCUGCAAGCCAUGUAUAUCUCUGCAACUGCAUCAAUGGAACAACAGGGGGCGGUGGUGUUUCUUAAACCCAGCCUCGAAAAUCUGCUCCCACAGGGAGUUGAACUCACUGGUGCUACUAAGGCCGUGCAACCACUAUGCUGUAUGCCUGUUCGCCUUUUUUCUAUCAGGUCCGUUCACUUUCUAUGAUGUUCUCUUAGCAUCCUAAAAAUCAGAGUACUCGUGCAUUUGAGCAUUCAAGUGGCUACAUCAGAACAACCAUAGAAAUUCCUAAUCUUUGGUAAAAGCAGUCUACCAACGGCGUUUAAGAAUCACAUUUACUUUUGAAAGGGAGCAGACAAUUAAAGUUCACCUGAAUCACAUUUACUUUUGAAAGGGAGCAAACUAUUAAAGUUCAGCUGGUCUCUUGUGAAGAAAAAGACAACCAAAAUAGUAUUACCCAGUUCUACAUGUCUUAAAAUCAAAAGAACAUACAUUGAACUUAAAAGAUCCAUUUGUCUAUUGUUGGUAAACAUAAGCUACCUAAUAAAGACUAAAGUCAUCAGGUCAUGUCAAUCUGUCAUGCUAUGUGUGCUUGGCUCCAAAACCUCAAAUGUUCAUACUAGGACCCCUGAACUCUACUGUACAACUAUGUUUACUAGCAUAUCAUUAUCUUGAGUUCGAAAAUGGAUGUAGUAGGUGAGAUUUGACAAUCCACAUAAUGGGUUAUUAUGGCCUUAUUAUGGGUGACAGGGUAAAGAGUGGGUCACCGAACAGCUCAUUGCCGUAUCUGAGAAGGUCCGUAGAGUGGGAGAAAGAGAGGCCGGAAUAGCCAUAGGAAUCGAGACCUGAACAUUUUUUUUAGUUUUUUCUAGGUGCGAGGGAAGUCCCCACACGGGGCAUGUGCAUCGAUUCUGGGGCAAUCGUUUGAAAUGAAGCAGCCUAGUCUGUUCCCACGGAUCUGGAUCUGAACUGCCUGUUCUUUCUACUUCAGGUUAAUCCGUUCCCCCGGAUCUGGAUUGAUCUGCCUGUUCUUUCUACUUCAGGGUUACCAUUAAUCAUCCGAUUUAGAUACUAAUCAACAUGAUGUUCGAAAACUUGUUCCGAAAGGCAGAGAAAAGACCUGAAAAGUGUUGGAGGGGGUCUUUUACCUCUUGAUAUGGAUGAUCUGAUCCGUCGUUCGCACGGGUGAAAUCCCAAGAACGCUUCCUGAAGGUCGGUUCCGUCGUGAGAAUCCCAAGCACACGACGAGCUGCGCCUGCGCCUCCCAGACCGCCGUCGGCUCCACCGACACCGGGCGCCGCCGGCGACGCUUCCGAGAAUCUUCGACGCCUUUCUGCUAUCCAACUGCUGGCAAGUCUUAUACAAGUACAGUAUGACAGGACAGAAGUCCAUACGUCUCCGUGCCGAUCCGGAAGCCCUUCCAUCUAGCGAGUGGGAGCUUUCCCGGAAGCUGCGGCCGCCCGUGCGGCGGCUUGCUGACUGGGCGCGAAGGUUCACGGAAGUUGCCGCGGCCGGCGAGGGAAGCCAACCCGGGGCGUCGGAAGAACAUUUGGUCGGCGAGGCCGCGGUUCGGUUCGACUGAUACCCAUAUCCGGCCAUCCGUCCCCGCGACCGCAACGCGGCCGCCAAGAGUCGGCAGGCCUUGUUUGCUUACCCAAAAAAAUUGUAAAAAAAUUCAGAUUUCCCUUCUAAUCGAAUCUUACUGCGGAUGUAUAAAGUAUUGAAUAUAAAUAAAAAUAAUAACUAAUUAUAUAAAAAUUCUUUUAAAUUUAGUUAGUUAAUAAUUAAAUAAUAUUUAUCAAAUACAAACAAAAGUGUUACCGUGUUUAUUUUGUAAAAAAAUUUUAGAACUAAACAAGGAGUCCAAAGUCACAGCCUCGUUGGGAUCGCGAAAAGGAAAAUUCUUCACUGUAGCACGUAACUACAUAGCAAUUAGUAUUUAAUUAUAAAUUAAUUAGAUUUAAAAAAUUUAUCUCGUAAAAUACAUGUAAAUUGUAUAAUUAAUUAUUUUUAAUCUAUAUUUAAUGUUACAUGCAUAUGUCUAAAUAUUUGAUGUGAUGAGAUAAAAAAUUUAGGUGAGAACUAAACAGGGCCAAUAGCAGAAGCCAGGGACACAAAAUUUAGAUCUUGUUUAGUUCGCAAAAGUUUUGGCUUUGGCCACUAUAGCAUUUUCGUUUGUAUUUGACAGAUAUUGUCCAAUCAUAUACUAACUAGUAUCAAAAGAUUUGUAUCGCAAAUUACAAUAUUUUCAUAUAUAUUUAAUGCUCUAUGUAUACAUCUAAAAAUUCGAUGUGACAGGGAAUCUCGAAAAUUUUUGCAAACUAAACCAGGCCUUACAUCAAAAGUGAGCAAGAGUAAUACAAUGUUUGGCAAGGUUUUUGUUCUCUAUAUACUUGCUAAUCAAAAGCUCUGUUAAACGUGCAUACUACAUAUGAAAACAGCUUAUGAGAUCAAAACAAAAAAAACGAGACUACAAAAACAUACCUUUCCUAAAUUGUACCAUUUUUGUAGAAGCUAAAAACCUGUCAAAAUGAAACUUACCAAACAACACAGUUCGGAGAAGAUACUGACUCCCAAGUCCCAACGAAGCACAUACAACUACACAAGCGCAACUCUCAAAAACGGCCUCCUGAAAACUUUUAGGCCUUGUUUAGUUCCUGAAUGAAAAAGUUUCGUGACACUGUAGCACUUUCGUUUGUUUGUGGUAAUUAUUGUCCAAUCAUAGAUUAACCAGGCUCAAAAGAUUCGUCUCGUCAAUUUCGACCAAACUGUGCAAUUAGUUUUUAUUUUUAUCUAUAUUUAAUACUCCAUGCAUAUGUUUAAAGAUUCGAUAUGACGGGGAAUCUUGAAAUUUUUUGGGAUUUUGGGUGGAAGUAAACAAGGCCUAACAAAGAAAACCCAAAAUACCAAAACCCUAAACAGCCCAAAAAACCUGACACUAAUUUUUUUUUAGUUUUGGUGUUUAAUUCCAAAACAUUUUGCAAAAUAGAACACAAACGGUCCAUAUUAAGGACAUGUUUGGAAGUUCUGUGAAUCUUUUCACCUGUAAAUGGCUUCCGGUUGUAUUUUUUUGUGCACAAGAAAUCCCUUGUAAAACUUUUCCCAUGUAAAUUUGCGUUUGGUCUAGAUGAAUUACUCAACUCUGACCGUGGCCACGCUCAAGCCUGAACACCAAGCUCCAGCCGGCGCCUAGGCUAUGCACAGCCCAUGAACUCUGCCCAAGUGCCCAGGCAUGACGGACACCAGCAGCAUGCACCAUCGCUCUGCCAUUCGCCGCUCCCUCGUCGUUGUUGAGCCGCCGCAACAUCAGAAUCAGAAGAAAAAAGGAGACGGGACCAUGAGUUUCCGCCGGCGGUUCGUGUACCUGGUGAUGAACGACACCAAAAGACGGGACUUUCCUCUGAGCCGUAUGGACGAGGCACGCUUCUUCUUCCGCGAGGACGAGAGGCCCCAGACCCCGCCGCCGGAGGACACGCACCUUCCGCCUCCCUCCAUCAACCACCACUGGCACCAGCAACGGCGCCAUGGACAGAAAAGGCGCGAAAGACGCUGGCAGUUUAUGCAUGGACAAUGGCAGACCCAGAUAUGUUCUGUGGCCUUGUGGGAACCCUUCUCUGGGGCAUCCAAGAACAAGAACUGCCAGAAGCUCAAGUGAAUAUCGACCAUGCCACAUUUACUUCCAUAAUUUGAAAUAGAGCAUGUAUCUAAACUAGUAGAAUUCUAUCAUUCAUUCAGAUGGAAGAUCGAUAUGCCACCAGAAAAAGCACCGGAGCCAGACGGAUUUAUCGGCACCUUCUAUAAAACUGCACUGCUGGGAGAUCAUCAAAUUGGACUUGAUCCAUGCCGUUGCCAGAUUCUACAGUCACAGGACACACAAGCUGGACCUUAUCAAUGAAGCACACAUUGUCCUUUUGCCCAAAGAACAAGACGCCACAACAUUAGCAGAAUAUAGGCCAAUUAGCUUGAUCAACAGCUUUGUCAAAAUCAUCACGAAAAAGCUGCAUUCACGAUAACUUCCUAUACGUGCAGAGAGUAAUUCAGCUCCUACACAAAAAGAAACAGCCAGCUCUAUUUUACUAACUCAAGACAUUUCGAAGGAAUUUGAUUCUAUUGGUUUGAGUUUCUUGUUGGAAGUCCUCACGGUGUUGGGAUUUAGCACAAAAUGGAGAUAUUGGAUAGCCUCCCUCCUAGCCACUUCAACAUUGGUAAUCAUGACAGAUGAAGAGCUAUGAUAGACCAUGCGGUUGGCAGCCUUCUUAGGAGUGAGGUUGUGCAUCGAUACCAAGUCAAGGGGGCAUGGAGGUCGAUGUCACCCAUCUAAGGCAGACCAACAUGGUGUAGUUGGUGUGGACAUUGGUGAUCGCAUGGAGCAAUAUCUAUGACACUUCAGUAUGCAGACGACACCCUCAUUGUUAUGAGACGAGAACCACAGGAUGUCAUCCACCUAAAAGAGACCCUGAAAAUAUUCUCCGACGCUACGGGACUCAGCAUCAACUACCAUAAAAGCACCAUAGUUCCUCUGAACAUAAACCCGGCAGCUCUGCAAAUCUGUGUCCAACAACUGGAAUGUCGUGUAGAAUCCUUCCCAUAGAACUACUUGGGUCUUCCUCUUUUGGCUUCCAAGCUACCGGUUGCGGCAUUCAAUCCAUACAUUGCUAGAACGGAUGCCUUCCUGUCCUCCUGGCAGGCUUCACUGCUGAAUAAAAUGGGAAGAGUGGUUAUGAUCAACUCGGUGCUCGAUAGUCAGCUUGUUUACGCCAUGUCCGCCCUCUGUGUUCCACCAACCACAAUAGCAGAGAUUGACAGAAGACGUCGAGCCUUUCUAUGGGCUGGCGAAGCAAACACUUCCUCGGCUAAAUGUCUGGUGGCCUGGGGAAAGUGUUGUACCACCAAAGUCUUGGUGGUCUGGGAAUCAAGGACUUCGCCAUUCAUAACAUCUGCCUCCUUCUAAAGCUCAUUCACAAGCUACAUUUCUCACUGAACUCUACAAGGGGGGCUUGGGUGCGGGAGAAUUCCAGUUUGGCAACCUUACAAGGAGAUCUACAGGGGAAUCACUGGGAGACUCUACGCUCGAUUUUGCCAUUAUACCAAGCGAUUACCACGGUCUAGAUUAAGGAUGGGGUAGCCACAUCUUUCUAGAACGACAUCUGGUAUAUGGAUGAAGCCUUAGCUGACAAACUUCCAGCGCUUUACAACCAUUGAGGGAUGCCUCCGUCAGAGAUGUGAUCCUCUCUCAACUCAAUGAUGCUUUUGUUCCAAGACUGACCCCUCAAGCUUUAGCACAAUUGCGACAGCUGCAACAAAUAGUGGCUCAGGCCUCUCUGGACACAGGAAAUGACAUAAGAAAAUCUCAUUUCGACUGUGGCAAUGGAAGAUUAGACUCAACUUCGAUCUACAAGCUACUCAAGGCCAAGCAAAACCCAUCUGAUCCCAUGUCAGACUUCAUCUGGGGGAACUGCUCUCCUCCAAGAGUUCAAUUCUUCAUGUGGCUCGCCUCAAAGGGAAGAUUACAAUGCCGUGCAAACCUAUUCAAGAAAAGAAUUGUAACAACCCAAGCCUGUGAAGUUUGCCAAGGGAUGGAAGAAACGACGGCUUUUGCAAGAGGUUUCUGGAAUGCCUUGGGGCUCAUAAUUGACGACGGCCUAACUGUUCAUCGCUUACAGUCUAUGGCGAGGAUCCAAAACAUCCCGGCCAAGCAGUUUAGUAGCUUCCUAGCCUUGUGCUGCUGGCAACUAUGGAAGCGGCGAAAUGCUCUUAUCUUCCGUAAUGAAAAUCUUUCGCUUCGCCAAGUGCUGCACGCCUGUGCCUUGGAUGCAGCUGCUUGGCGUCCUAGAUUCAAGAAGAAGGAGAAGGAGAUCAACACUGCCUGGUGUACUUACCUCCAUUCAAUUCUAAACCAGAUUCCCUAGUCCAGUCUGUAAAUUCCCUGUAAAGUCUUUUCUUUUUCUUUAAUCAUAUAAAGAAAAACAACUCUCUGUAAUCCUUUGUGACCAUGGGUCACCCGUCAAUAAAGCCAGGUGGGAGAAUCCCCCCGUUGAAUGCUCAAAAAAAUAUCUAUGGUUAUGUAGUGUCAGGGUCAUUAGAGGUGACAUCAUUGUCAUCAUCCACCUCUGCCAGAUCCAACAAGAACAAGCGCUGGAACACUCGGUUGUGACCACGCCCGAACUUUUGGUUGCAAUUGAAGCAAAGGCUAAGCUAGUGGCAUUCUUCCAUCUCGAACAUCAACAUACACUUGAUGGGGCAUCCCUCCACCAUGGUGGUGGCCGCUGCAGUCACAACAGGUGGUAGGGCAGUAGAGUGAGAUGUGGUGGAGGCGGCACAAUAGUGGCGACACUAGUCGCGUAGCUCCAGGUUCCGGGUGAGGUUCAUGGUGAAGUGAGAAACUGUGGGUUGUGGACCUCCAUGUAAAGGAUUAUCAACAGUUGCAAUCCUGCCAGUAAGAUCUCCACCUGUUGUGCCUCAAUGAGGGUUGCCCGCGUGAGGAAGGAGGGCCUCAAAAGUAGUUAUGAUAGUUGGUGAAGGAGCCUGUGCACUUGCAAGCCAUAUAAGCUCGCUAAGGGGGGGUUGGAGCGUAGGGGCGUGGCCCAAACCAGAGAUGCAGCAACUCGAUGAAGCAACGUCAUGGCGGUGUGCCCUCGUCCGUAGAUGUACCACAUUUGGGCGCCGACUUCAAGGUUGUAGCGGGCCAUCUACACCUUCUCCAUGAUACACUCCUGAUGAAAAAUAAGACUCACAAUGAUUGAUGAACACCAGCGGAUCAUACUUAUCAUCAUAUUUGGGGAAGUCCAUCUUCUGGAGAUGCAGGGUUGGUCGUUGUGGUGCGCACCGGAGGCCGAAGCCUUAGCAUUGGACAAGGAUGUCGCAAGGGGGUGAUCCUACUAGAGAAGUCGAACUUGGCUUGCAGGUUGUCGAUGGUCACCACCAAUGACUUGAUGAGAGAAGCAAUAUCUGCUAUGGCUGGCUUGCCCAUCGUGGAGGUCACUGAGGCAGUGGAAGACGGUGGCGAGUUGGGUACAACAGGUGGAGUAGUGGUGAAAGAUGAAUGUCUGGAACCCGAUACCAAGUUGUCAAGGGCGUUGGUUCCCAAGGUACCUAGUCUACAGAUACGGAGUUCAUAGCGUUGACCGGUAAUACGGAUACGGAGUUCAUAGCGUGGACCGAUAAUGGCCUAGGGAUUCUUCUUUGAGCACCCAAUGUUGGAGGUGAGAUUAAGAGAAAUGAGGGAGACUAGAGAAAUUGGUUUGUUAUUGCAAUAUUGCUUGAUCUAAAUGAGGGCUGAGUACAUGGAAUAUAUAGGCACUUGGCCUGCUAAAUAGAAGGAAAUAAACUCCAUAAAUCCUCUAAUUCUUGCCCUAUUUGAUCUUCUUAACUCUUGGUCUCUUGCCUUCAUGCCAAUCCGUGGAAUAGUGUUGCUGCUGGCGCCAUUCAUGCUGAUCCCUGCAAGGGUUGCUAUUGCUGAGUAUAAUGGUGGCCCCUACUUAAGUCUUGUCUAGCUAGCAUACCAAUCUAUCUUCUUUUUGUUAUUAAGUUUCCUAGAUGGGCUAUUGACAUGAUUAAUUCCCAUAUGCGACAUUUUCUUUGGAACAACACUGAGGAAAAACAUAAGUAUCAUCUUGCAAACUAGUAGCUGGUGUCCCAGGAAAAAGAUCUGGGGGGUUUACGCAUACCUGAUUUGAGAAGUUUGAAUUUGGCUUUGCUAAGUUCCUGGAUUUUUAGGUACCAUCUGAAUAAUGAAUCUAUUUGGACAAAAAUUGUUGAUUUCAAAUAUAAAACUAAAAAACCAAAUAUUUUUUGCUGCUCUGAGGUAGGAACUUCACCUUUUUGGAAAGGUGUCAUUUGGGCUAUGCAGGCAGCACAUAUGGGUGUGAGAUGGGUGAUUGGGAAUGGAGGUAAAAUUCAAUUUUAGGAAGAUCAGUGGCUUGGUAAUACUUGCCUUGCUAUCCUUUUCUGGCCUCUAUAUGUUAUUCAACAUGGAAAAAGUGAUAGGGAAGUUUGGAAUGGUGAAGAGUUGCAACUCUCCUUUAGGAGAGGUGUCUCUGAGAGAAUCAUGGGUAGGUGGGAAGAAUUAAAAGCAGCUGUGCAGAGUAUUGCACUCAAUAAUGAGGAGGAUCGGAUCCUUUGGACUUAUAGCUCCUCUGGAAAGUAUUCUGUACAAUCCUUAUAUGCUAUAGUUAAUCAUAGGGGUGUGAUACCGAUCUUUGUACAUGUUGUUUGGAAGCUGAAUAUUCCUCCGCGAGUAUAGUUCUUUCAGUGCUGUGUUGCAAGUAAUGUCUGGAUAUGUAUUUCUGGUUGGUUGAACAAAGUAGUGGGGGCUGAUUUUGAAUCUGUGGCGUCUUUGUGGAUAGCCAAUAAAAAGUAUAUGGUGUGCAAUAUUGUUACUUCAGCAGUCAUCUGGGUAAUUUAGAAAUUGCGUAAUUCAUUGUGUUUUCAGGGAGUACCAUGGAGUGGAAUGAAAAAGAUGUUUGUUAUGUUGGGAAGGUUGCUGAAAAACUGGUUGUCGUUGUUCAAACUGGAGCUUCAGGAAAAGGUAGAGCGGGUGAUCUGUCUGGUGGAGAACGAAGCAAGCUGAGCCCCGCGGAUCAAGUGGACUGUGGAUUCAUCAGGAUUGGAUCAAUCAAUUGCUCAGCCUUUGGUGGUCUCAAGAGAUGUGUCAACUCUACAAUGUAAUAGAAAUUAGAGUGUGGUUGAGAGUGUUUUGUUUUUUGGCGGCCGCUCUUGGAUUGCUUUGUGCUCCUUGAGUAGGGUUCUGGAGUUUUUGGAACUGCUUUUGAGCUGUUGAAUGCUAUAAACUUGUUAGCUUUAUAAUAAUAAAGCUGGGGAGACCUUUUAUUUAAAAAAAUAAUGGUGGCCCCACAUGACAAGAGCUCACGUUCUUUACGAAUUAUGCCGGUAAAGUUUUCUUUGCCCUUGAGGGCAUAUGCCCUCACUCUCCUACUCAUUGGAUUCGCUUUGAGAAGUGUGCAAACACACAUCUCAAUGCGGAACUGCUUUGAGAUGUGUGUUUGCACACUUCUCAAAGCGAAUCCAAUGGAUGGGAAAGUGAGGGCAUAUGUCCUUAAGGGUAAAAAAACUGCGUCCGAAUUAUGCUCGAUGUUUUACUGUUGAUAGGAAUGUCAUUUGGUACCUUCAGAAGCUCGAGUGAAUAUCGAGCAUACCACAUCUUCCAUAAUUUGGACUAAGGCCUUGUUUAGUUCACCUCAAAAACUAAAAAGUUUUUAAGAUUUUCCGUCACAUCGAAUCUUGCGGCACAUGCAUGAAACACUAAAUAUAAACGAAAAUAAAAACUAAUUGAACAGUUUGUUUGUAAAUCGCGAGACGAAUCUUUUGAUCCUAAUUAGUACAUGAUUAGACAAUAUUUGCCAUAAACAAACGAAAAUGCUACAGUGCUAAAAUCCAAAAACUUUUCACAACUAAACAAGGCCUAAAUAUGUAUCGAAAUUAGAAUUCUAUCGUAUUCAGAUGCAACUGCCACUACUGAAGCAAAACUUAACCAUGGUGAACAUUUUAUAUUUACAUGACAGUUUUUAUAACCACCACAGCUAUAGGAUCAUGGUUAAUCUUAAUUUAACCGAGGCAGUUCUGAGUUACAUCGGUUAAUCGGUGGGUGAUGUAAUGCCUGCCUCAGUUAAUGUUCGCGAAAAAACCCAAACAACUAAAAACUUGAGACUCUAAAGAGUCAAACCUAGGACCUCUUGCUCAACACUAUAACCCUCUACUGCUACCCUACACAAUUAUUUGUGCAUACAUAUAAUACGCUAUCUUUUUAUAUCAAUAUUUCGUAAUCUUACAUUGGGUAUUUCGGCUACUAAAUAAAUUCAAAUGAAAAAACUUUUAACUACAAAGUCUUAAAUCUUGUCGAGUACUACAACUUGGUAUAUAUAAUUUGUCGAGUACUACAACUUGGUAUAUAUAAUCUAUCGCAGUUGUAUAUAUAAUCUAUCGCCAUCAGAGAUAGUUUGAAUUUUUUUUAAAAAAAUUAAGCCUUAAAAUAUGUGAAUUUCAAACACAUAUUUGGAACUCUAGGUGACUUUAAAUCAAAAACUUGUCAAUAUCAAACAUGUGAACAUUGGAGAUCAUUUAGGAAUUCAAAAUUUUAAAUUUCAAAAUCUAUAACCUUUGAACACAUGUUUGAGCCUCUAAACAUAUUCAAAUUUAAAACUUUUCAAUUACAAAGUUGUAGAUUCUAUCAAAAACUAUAACUUCUGUAUAGACAAUGUGAAUAUCUAAGAUUGUUUGAUAAUUUUAAAUUUUAAAUUUCAAAAUCUGGACACUAAAAAUAAUAAUUUUUGGACUCUAAACAGUUUUAAUUCAUAAUUUUUUUUCAACUAUAAAGUUGUAGAUCUCAUUGAGAGCUACAAUUUUGAUAUAAAGUUUGUCUUCAUCUGAAUUCAUAUGAAAAAGUUAUAAAUUAUUUUUUUUGGUAACCAUUAACCGAGGCGAGCAUUGUGACGUAACCGCCAUGAUUAAUGAGUUAUUAACAGUGGCAAGCAUUAUAAGUAAUCGCCACGAUUAAUAAUGUUAACCGUGGAGGUUAUCUUACAAUACUUGCUACGGUUAGUUAUUUGUCCGGUGGGCUGGCAAGCUUCAGCCCUGAAUAACCAUAGUGGGCAAAAGUAACGCCUGCCUCGAAGUCCUUAUGUAAAACGCUACGCAAAAUGAAACGUUCUUGGCAGGGUAACGCAUGGACACAGCACAACAGUGAGGUGACGAUUCGUUUAUGUUUACAAACAUUUGUAUUCACUCAUGCACACAGCGUUAAAAUCAUGCAGUUCUGAUUCCCUUUUACAGCCUAUUUUUUUUUCAUAUAGCAAACUUAUUUGAAAUUGGAAUUUUGUAUUCCCACGGAAAUGAGCGGGGAACCACCUAGUUACUGUUACAUCCUGAACAACCCGCCAUCUCUCGAUAAAGUACACCCUAUAUCUCAAUUGCAGUGGAGACGCGAGAUAUCCAAUCAACUGCGCGGAUCCUGCCUAAGCGGCAUGAAGAUUAGUUCCUGGCGCUGCUGCUUCGACCUGCAAAUAAUCAGUGGUUCCAAUUAAUUAAUAAAUUACAGUAAAAUACCAUGACUUGAGCUCAAGAAUCAAGACACAUACCAGCUACGUCGGUGAAGCAGGUACGCGCAGCAGCCUCCGACCCCGAGAGCAGCCGCGCCCACGGCCGCCAGAAGCAUCGGCACCGACGUCGAGGACGCCGCGGUUCGCGCCAACCUGGAUACCUGAAGGACCCCAGACGACAGGAAGACGAGCCAGAGGACGGCGUCCAGCUGCCACCGUCUUCCUCCGUCGUCGUUUCUUCUCUGCUCCCAGCAUCCGGAGAGCCUGCAGAGCAGGAGGCCGACGCCGACGUAGGUCACCUGGACGGAGGCCACGGACACCAAGUCGCCCCACAAGAGGUACAUCAACAGGCCGGAGUAAGCGGUAAGCAGCACGAACAAAACGAGACGCCCCUUUCGGAGCUCUUUCGUCUCUCGGUGCUCACCCGUGGUCGUCUGCUUUGCCGAGGGAAGGGACAGAGUAGCCAUUGCUGUGCUGUGGGUAGAGAAGGCAACAGGUGCAAGCGGUGGUGCUCAGGAGCUAAGAGGCCCUCUGUUUCCUUGAGAGGUUAAGAGGCCCUCUCGAGUCAUGAGCAAAGAAAGCAGGCUACAAAUUUUCAAGAUUGCCGUCAUAUCGAAUCUUACGACAUAUGCAUGGAGCAUUAAAUAUAGACGAAAACAAAAACUAAUUAUACAAUUUAUCUGUAAUUUACGAGAUGAAUAUUUUAAGCUUAGUUAGUUCAUGAUUGACAAUAUUUAUCAAAUAUAAACGAAAUUGCUAUAGUACUCGAAACCAAAAAUGUUUACCAACUGAACAAGGCCUAAGGGCACUCCCAAUAUAGAAAUCAUCGUGCUUUCUAUAGACAUUAAUUAUAAUGCCACCUAAACAUUUUGCUGAUGUGGCAAGAGAGUUAUUGAAGAAAGAGAGAGCAAAAAUCAUAGAAACUAGAUCUAAGUUAGAAACCAUGUCUACACAAAAUUCAAGAUAUGAAGUGAUAUGAUUGGUUAAGAAUGGAGAGAGAGUGAAUGUCAUUGGGUAAAAAAUAUUAUAUAGAAACUAUCCAUUGACACCAUAGUUUCUAUAUAUAGUGUCUAUAAAAAUUAAUACGUAUAGAAAUUACAUGUAGUUUUCAGCAUUGGGAGUGCCUAAAGAGGGCGAGGAGUUCCCUAGCUCAGCUCACUGAGUUGUCCCCCCCGUCCGGUUGCAGUUGCACCUGUGUUCAUCUGUCAGAGAUGGGACCCACUCAGGAUUAGUACUUUUUCACGCUGACGUGUGAAUUAUGGCCUUGUUUAGAUGGAUUUCAUUACUGUAGCACUUUCGUUUGUUUGUGGCAAAUAUUGUCUAAUUAUAGACUAAUUAGGAUCAAAAGAUUUGUCCUGUGAUUUACAAGUAAACUGUGUAAUUAGUUUUUAUUUUCGUCUAUAUUUAAUGCUACAUGCAUGUGCCGAAAGACUCGAUGUGACGAGAAAUCUUGAAAAUUUUUUGGUUUUUGGGGUGAACUUAACAAGGCCUAUGUCUUCCUAUCAACUUCAAUGUUUCCGCAACUUGCGAUGGUAGCCAAAGUCUGUAACAAUGUCAUCAUUUUUGGCACUAACGAACCUAGCUAGCGCUUGCCAAUUUCAUGUUUAUAUUUUACCACAUGUACCGACGCUGGAUCCUUACUCGCGAAGCAGCCAAGGAGGCGCUGACGGCGAGGGCAAUUCCGCAACUUGGGAUAGAUGGUGGCCAAAGUCUGUAACAAUGACAUUAUUUUUUGCAUUAACAAACCUAGCAAGCGCUUGUCAAUUUCGUGUUUAUAUUUUACCACAUGCAUAGGCGGAGCUAGCUAAGUGGACAGAUGGUCCUUGGACCAUCCUAAAAAUUAGUUUUAAAGUUAAACUAUAGUAGAUGAGCUCUCUAAAAUCAUAAAAAUUAUACAUAGAUCACUUUAUAGUUUGGUUUUACAUCUAAAAUAGAUCACCCUUGCUCUAGAUCCUAGCUACGCUACUGACCACAUGUACCGAUGCUGGAUCCUUACUCGCGAAGCAGCCAAGGAGGCGCUGACAGCGAGAGCAAAAAUCAAAGGUGCAAUUGCAGCGGACGAGGAAACUUAGGAGGUGUUUGGAACUUAGUCCAUGUUUUAGAUGCUAAUUAAAUAGAAGACUUACAUAUGAACUAAUUAUGAUCUAACAAGAACUAAUAGAGGCUAAUUAAUGAGUAGAAUUCAUCUGUUUGGAACAGAUGAGUGCAAAACAGAAAAAGGAAUAAAAACAUUAAAAUAGGAUAUGUUGGUAGAAUACGGAGGAGAUUGAAAGACAAAAAAUUUAUAAGAAUCAGUGUUUGGAACACAGGAAUGUUAAAUAUGUUUAUUCCUCCAUUCUAGUGAGCAAGGACAUAUUGCUUGUUUCACAUGUAGGAAAAUUUUCCAAGAGCUUGGAGUGGAUAUUUUAUUCCCUCCAUUACAUGAAGGAAAGCAAAUCUUUCUAUAGAAAAGAAAAAUUUCAUUCCUCUGUUCUAAACACUAUGUGAGAAUUGGAUUCUUUCGAAAUUAUUAUAUGAAGAUCCUUCAAUCCAAGCAGGCCUCGAAAGAGUGUUCAUUUCUUCUAUUGAUGAGUGCCAUCCACCACCCGGCGUUCAAUCAAAGCUUGUUUGCGAGUGUAUAUAAAAAUUCACUUGUCAAAUCUUGAGUUAUAGCAAGUUGCUAAUUUGUUUAGCAAAAGAAAAAAAGAUGUGUCUCCAAUAAGUUGCUAUUCUCACUUGGUAAAAAUAGAGGAUGACAGAUGGGACCCGCUCACUUGGUAAAAGAAUAUGUGUCUCCAACAAGUUGCGCUCGGGAUAGCAACUUGGGAUAGCAACUUGACAAAUCUCGGCAGUAGAAACCUCUGGAUAGCAACUUGGGAAAUUUAGCAAGUUGAGAUAAGGAGUUGUUGGAGGAGGAUUUUUAUGCUUUUAGCAAAUUUGGUAGGAUAGCAUGUUGAAAUACCAAGUUGUUGGAGAUGCUCUAAAUUUGUUUAUUAUAGUCUCUUGUGUGCUAAUCUAGGAAGUAGGAUAAUUUCUAUGGCUAUUAGUUAGGGUGUCAACUAAGCAAAAUAAUGGUCCGACAUUGGAAUCAAACAAGAGAGACAAUAAAAAAAUUUGUAUAUAAUAAGAGAUGUAAUAGAUAGAUGAUAGAAUAGAGAUGAUACAUGAUUGGACAAAAAUCUAUUUUGAAGACACAAUAUAUUGAAAAUGUAUUUUCUUUAUGUAGCGUCUCAUAGUGGCCUAUAGCGAAAGGGCAUACGGUGUAAUGGUUACAAGAGGUUCAGUAGCACCUCAAGUCCUGGGUUCAACUCUCUGGGAGUGAAUAUUCUAAGAUUAACGUCGUUGUGUUUUCAGUGGUAGACGACAUUCCCGUCAACAACGUCACACCUAUAGUGACUUCAUCAAUCUCGAAGAUUUGUCAGUCCGGUCUUUGAAGAUGUUUGUGAGUGUAUGAACAAAGAUACUCCUUCCCUUCCAAAUUAUAAGUUAAUUCUAGCUUUUCUAAAUAUGUAGUUUUUCUGUGUACCUAGAUAUACCCUAUCUAGAUGCAUAAUUUCUAAGUGUAAGAUAAAAUGUACUCAUCCAUUUCAAAUUAUAAGUCGUUUUGAUUUUUUUGGUAUAUUAAUUUUGCUAUAUAUCUAGAUACAAUAUAUGUAUAGGUACAUAACAAAACUUAGAACGGACGAGUAUCUAAAAGAGCUCAAUCGACUCCAAAUUAGAGGGGAUACAUUUUUCUCCCUCUAUCUUAAGAUGCCAUAAGAAAAUCAUAUACACAAAGAAAACCUUCUCUCUGCGAAAGGCCCUCUAGCCUAGUGGUUAGAACACCUGAGUAGCACUAGCAGAUCUGGGUUCAACUCCCGUGGGAGCGAAUUUAAACAUGUCUGCAUUAUAAAAAAAAUGAAAAACAUAGACUGAGGUUUCCCUUACUGACUUCGGUCAAAAAAAAAAGAAAACCUUCUCUCGAGGUUGUUCCUUUUUUGCGCAGCCAUUAGAAAUGGUCGAAGCUAUAAGGUAUAUACUUUGCAAUUGGCAUACAAGACACAUGAAUCAAAAUGGAAAGACCUUGACGUACUCGUAAGUGAUUAGAGUAGUGUGUCAUCGACAAAUAAAAGAUAUGGGAGGUGGCGGAUGAACAGGAAUAUCGGACAUAUCGAAUUAUAUUGGUGGACAUUUGUUUUUGCCAAAAUUCAUGAAGGAACUCUCAGUUUGUAUAGAAAAUCACAGAUUCUUUCCAAACCAUUUAACACCAAAAACUGCACAUAAUAAUUAAUAAAUGAGAGAUAUAUAUAUCACACUCUUACAGCUCAUAUUUGGCACAUCACAUUUGAUUUGUUUAAUACAUGUGUCCGGCAGUUCUCUUGUAUGAGGCUUUUCAACGUCUCAUUUGAUUACAUGCAUGAUACCUUUUUGGUUCGAAAAGAAAAAAAAAAUCUACCUUUCUCUAGAGUAUGAAGAUCGAAUAUAGGUCCCGUACGAUCUAAUACGCCGGCCUAUUCGUCCUCGUAGAUGAAGAAGGCAUAAAAGCCGAACGCCGUGGCACUGGCCAUCGCCCACACGAGCACCGCCACCGGGAAUGGCAUGACUGCGACCACCUUGUAGGCGAACAUGGCCGUGAGCAGCGUGGUCAGCAACCAGACGGCGACCUUCAUGCGAUGUCUUCUAGGGCUCUCUGGCACUCGCUCAAACCACCUCAGGAAGGAGAAGAGCAAGACGAGAUUUAAGUAGGAGAAACCAACGAAGGAGAUGCUCCAGAAGUCGUCUCUCGAGCGGUAGAGGGCCAUGACGGUGUUACCGGUGAGGAGGCAAAAACCAAAAAGGGUGAGCCACGAGGAACCGCCGCGGUCCCUCACCCUUCCUGCCUGUCCUAACUCCGCGUGGUGGUGCCGAUCCAUGUGUCGCGCGCGAAAGAAGAACAGAAGUCUGUUAACAAAGUAAGGCCGGAUGGGGGUCUGCGGAGUGGGGAAGGAGAAGGAAAGCACAAGGGAUGAGCUUUUAAGGCCAAGACCUUGUUUAGUUUAAAAAAAAAUUGUAAAAUUUUUUAGAUUUCUCGGUCACAUCAAAUCUUGCGGCACAUAUAUGGAACAUUAAAUACAGAUUAAAAAAUAAUAAUAAUUAAUUGCACGGUUUGUUUGUAAUUUGCAAGACAAAUCUUUUAAGCCUAGUUCGUCUAUGAUUGGAUAAUAUUUGUCAAAUACAAACAAAAGUGUUAUAGUGUUUAUUUUGUAAAAAAAAAAUUAGAACUAAACAAAGCCUUAAAAAAAAAGUACUGUCACCGGGUGUCACGAAGACGAUUGCAUCGAUCGACUGACGAAGCCAACUCAGAAGCAGAGAGUCCAGGGCAGGCCGGAGAACGUUUUGCUGUCACACAACUGUACGUUUAGAUACACUCAACUGAAUAAGUUUGAGGAUCUAUAUGGGAAAUUUUCAAGUUUGAACAGGAUGACACAAUCGAUAUACAACUUUUUAUUAAAAUUUUCAAGUUUGAACAGGAUGACACAAUCGUAUAAACUCAAAUGAAGAUAAACUUUUUAUUAAAAUUGUAGCUAGCAACGCGAUUUACAACUUUGUUGUUGAAAUGUUUUAAACUAAAAUCAUUUAGGGUCUCCAAAUAUUUUUUAUAAGUUUAUAGAUUUUGCAAUUUAAAAUUUGAAAUUAAAUUUUGUGACACUAAAUGACUUCAAAUAAAAAGCUUUUCAACUACAAGUUGUAGAUCACGUUGAGGACUAUAACUUUGAUAUAAAAUUUGUCUUUAUUUGAGUUGAUAUGAAAAAAAUUAUGAAUUUUUGAUAUAGUGUUUUUAGAUCGGUUUGUUUUGACCCAGAUGAGAGUCAAAACCAAGUUAAGAAAGAGAAGACCGCCAAACCAGCAAGGUAAGGCCUUGUUUAGAUACACUCAAAAACCUAAAAGUUUACAAGAUUUCUCAUCACAUCGAAUCUCGCGGCACAUGCAUGGAGCAUUAAAUAUAGGUAAAAAAUAACUAAUUGCACAGUUUACCUGUAAAUCGCGAGAUGAAUCUUUUAAGCCUAAUUAGUUCAUGAUUGAACAAUAUUUGUCAAAUACAAAUAAAAGUGUUACAGUAUCAAAAUCCAAAAAGAUUUUGAAUCUAAACACACCCUAAAUCUAUCAGUUUUGGACAGAAAAAAGCGCGAAAGAAGAUACCAGGAGUUUAUGCAUGGACAAUGGCAGACCCAGAUAUGUUUGUGGCCAUGUGUGGUGGAUCUACAGGUAUACCGUAUAUACCACGGAAUCAAGAUUGUUUAAAACCCACUCCCCUUUGCUUCAACCACAGAAUUCAGACCAUUGGUGGCUCAUUCGCGUGUUGACACAUGUCAUUGUUUGUUUUACAAAAAGGCCCUUAAGUUCUUGGAAUCAACCUGCAGUCGAAACCCUUCCCAUCAGACCAUCUUGCAUCGUGACCUAUCGAUCCCCAUCUCUCCUUUCUCUCCUCUUCAUGUCGCCGCCGCCGCCGCCUUUCUCUCCUCUCCCCGCCACUGACGCCGUCUCCUCCGCACCUCCACCCCCUGCGGAACCUCCACACAGGCGUCGCUCGAGAUGGAAGCCGCAUGGCCUUUGCGGCACAGGGCGCACAAGAUCAGAAGGCGCAUAAUUGGGGUGCCAGCUCCCACGCUUGUCAUGGUCGGCAGAGGAGGAGGUAUUGCUGGACCCUCCCUUCCCUCUCCUCCCCCAUCACCACCUCCAUACCGGCAUGAGCAUCGUUGUUGCUCCUCAGUUCGUGAGAGAGGGAUCUCCACCUUCUUUAUCGUGUCUUUGGAACGACAACACACUAUGGUCUUGCCCGCCUCUUCUCAAGUCGUCGUUGUCUUCCAUUAGAGCAUCUCCAAGAGAUUAGCUAAAUCAUUUUCUAAAGGUAAAUUUAGCUAUUGUUGAAGGAAAAACGUUUCCAACAGACUCUGUAAAUGACUCUUCAAAUUUAGUAGCUCUCUAUCCCACAUUAUUCGCUCUCUACUUUUGGAUAGUCUACCUCACUAGCCAUCCUUUACAGAGUCUGUUGGAGUACUCUAAUAAUUUUUUAUCAAAACUAUUUUAAAGAAUAGCUAAAUCGGUAAAUUUAGCUAAUAUUUUUGACUAAUCUCUUGGAGAUACUCUUAAAUCCCAGCAAGGCAGCAAUACAGUGUGCAAGCAGUGAAUCUUUAUUCACGAGUGGUGCCGGUGAGCUUCCCUUCCCCAUUUCUACUGCUUUGAUCCGCUCCUGUUGCCUGCUUCGUUCUUUGUUGUUGCUCUGGAAAAAAAACAGGGUCACGGGUACUCUCAUGCUGAGCAACAGCCUAGAGCUAACGAAGCGAAUCAACCAAGCAACUUAUUCUUUUGUCUUCUCCUUCACUCAGGCUCUCUUGAUGCGACAUGGAGGCAAGGUCCUCCACGUGGAUCUCGGCGCCAGCUAUCAGAUCCGGCGUACUUGAAGCAUCCAGAAAAGAACAUGAGCACCAUGGCAGCCAUCAGCCGGCCGUCCGGCCAAGAAGCCUUUGGCCACACGACAUACACGGUGACCACCACCUGGGAGGCCAAGCCCAGCAGGUGCCGCUUCCACAGCUCCUUGUCCUGCAUUGACAGGGCUGUGAUGGUGUCCUGCCCGCCCAGUUGGACCAGCACGAACGGCGCCCAGAAGGAGAUGAGCUGCCGGCCCGGCUCGCUCGCGUGGACAGCGAGGUGGCCGAGCACAAAGAUGGCCACAGAGUCAGCUGACAGAUAGGCCAGCCACAGCACAAUUUGAAGUACCGGCGACGUGUUGCGCAUCCGCAAAACCAGCAAAGGCGAAGAGGAAGACUUGCAGGAAAAGGCUGACGAGGAUCAGGCAGUGGAUCUCCAUCUCCCACGCGUUCCAGACCUCUUGGACAGCAGGCAUCAAGCUGUGGAGUUCACCACACUUUAAUUAGGUUUGCAAGCUCUAAGUAAUCCAAACUUCCAAAGCACAUGAAGAUAAAAACAUAUGAAUGAAAUCACCCCACAGUCCUCGACCGAUCCAAAGGUAUAGAUAGUCAUCGCUGCCAAAUUAACUCGUUGUUGACACUCAAAAAAGCCUCAACAUGGAAAUGGGCAUCACCAACAAGUUCCUAGCAUCAAGAUUCAAGGGAGUGUUGGAAAUUAAUUGGCGCGGCAAAUAGCAAGAGAAACAAGCAAAGAAGGACGAAACGGUGUCUAGCCGGCCACUAGUACAGCGACGAUUUUUUCUCCUGGUGGUAAUCAUUUUCUUCACUAGUGGUUCGUAACCAUCAGGCACCGGUAAAGAAAAAUCCAUGGGUCCAAAAAAAGAAUAGCAUGUUAAACUCAUUUACACUGGCAGUUCCUCUAAGAAAACCGCUAGUGUUAAUGCUGUAUUAUACUAGCGGUUUGCAUUAAGCAACCACUAGUAUAAAUUACUGGCAAUUCACUUAACCAAUCGUCGGUGUAAAUAAAUAUUAGCGCUGACGGUUCGCUUAUGUGAUCAACUAGUGUAUUUGAUUUUUACUAGCGAUUAUUUGAAAGAGCCGCUUGUAAUAAAUCCACCAUGAAUAUUGCCUCUUCCUCCCUCGACCAAAAUUAGCCGAGCCACCUUCCAUUGGUGACGAACUUGGAGGUCCAAAAAAUUGCAACAUACAAGGAGGAGGUUUUGCUUUUCAUUUCUUUGGAGGAGUUCGCGCACAAGCAGGUUAGUUAAUGACUCUUGUAGCUCUUCGCAUUAGUGCUUCUCAAUUUGAGUUAAAACUAGAUCUAGACAGUUUCAUGGUUGUUUUUAGAGAGAGAGAGAGAGUGGUAGUAGAUUUUUAGUCUAUGGUUUCAAUGGUGUCUCAAAAGCUUUGAUUAGGCAUGUGCGGCGCUCCAGUGGCAGCAUAGAAUCAGCCGCUGCUCCCUCGUCUCCCGCCGCUUCCACGAGCGCCUCAUCUCCCACCGCAACCUCCUCCUCGUCCUCCCUGCUGGCCACGCUCUUCUCUGUUCGGAUCCAGGCCGACCUCCUCCUCGUCCUCCCUGCCGAUCGCGCUCUUCUCCGUCCAGAUCUAGGCCGGCGGCGGCGGUGCUCUUCUUCGACCAGAUCCAGGCCUUUACCGCGCGGGGAAUGGCCUCCUCUAUCGACGCGGCACGGGGGGGUCUCGGCCCCCUCUUUCGGUGCGAUAGUGUGUGGCAGCUCGGCAUCCGGAUCCAUAAUGGCAUGGCGCGGACCCUCUCUCUCUUGCCGAUGCUCAGAUCCACGGUGACAACGGCAGCGGCAACCUGAUCCAACUACGUCCAUCGUGUCCAGAUCCUACAGCGGGAAGGCGCAUGUGGCUUUAACAAGCGAUGGCAGCUGCGGUGUGUGGAUGGGCUCGGUGGGCUUAUCCACGGUUUUUUUAUUUUUUCUAUAGGGGUUUUUUAUUUUUUUUUAUUCUAUUAACUGAGGCGGGCAAUAGACCGCGUCGGAUAUGGUCACAUUUACUGUGAGCUUUGCUUUGAGAUGUUUUUUAUGCUAGUCUCAGAAAAUGCUUUCAAACCGUCUUAGAAAAGUUUUUAUGUAGUAGUGUCAAAAUUAGACCAAGGAUUUCAUGGAAAGAGAGAGAAAUGAUUAGAUUUUCUUAGAUAUAAGGUUUCAUGUUUUUCUUAAAAAUUUAAGAUUAGUUGGCAUAAAAAUUUUAAAUUAGAUUAGUUGGCUUAAAAAUUUUCUUAAUCUGUGUUGAUAUGUUUACACUAGCGGUUUGUCUAAGUUAAGGACUAGUGUAAAUCAUUUUUACAUGGUCAGUUAACUUAUGCAAACCACCAGUAAUACUGGCGUAUCGCAAGUAUGUGCCUGCAGUAAUCACGAUUGUUUUAGAGUACUCACAAUGCAAGACUUUAUCACAUAGUCCAAGAUAAUUAAUUAUAUAUUAUUUAUGAUAUUUUGCUGAUAUGGCAGCAUAUUCAUUGAAGAAAGAGGUGGAAAAAAUAAGACUCUAAGUCUUAUUUAGACUCUAAGUCCACAUUGUUCGAGGUAAUAAAUAACUUUAGACUCUAUGAUAGAGUCUGUAUUGUAAGUGCCCUUAUGUUGGCGGACGCUAAACGCAAGACUGCCAGCACAAUGCUGUACUAGUGGGCUUGCCAAGCCAGCUAAGCCGGCUCCCUGCCUAGUCGGCUUAGGCCGUGUUUAGUUGGUGAAGGAAAAAAUUUUACGACACUAUAGCACUUUCGUUUGUUUAUGGUAAUUAUUGUCCAACUAUGGACUAACUAGGCUCAAAAGAUUCGUCUCGUAAAUUUCGACCAAACUGUGCAAUUAGUUUUUAUUUUCGUCUAUAUUUAAUACUCCAUGUAUACGUCUAAAGAUUCGAUGUGACAGAGAAUCUUGAAAAAUUUUGGAUUUUUUUGGUGGAAGUAAACAAGGCCUAGCUGAUGGGUUCCCAAAGUCGGAUGACUAAAUAAUUGAAGAAUAUAUAUUUGAAAAAACAAAGUAAAAGAGGAAAAAACAUUACAUCAUCAUUAUCAGUAAUUGAUGUUAAUAUGUGGGAUGGCAAGGUAACUUCGUGGGCAUGUGGUGGAAACGUCUCAAAGUGCACUAAUAAAACCCUUACCGUUUGAGAAAAUUCUAAACUAGACUAAUAACAGUUAGAUGUUCACAAAGACACUUGGCAAAUCUUGAAAUUGUUCAAAAUUUUAAAUUCAGAAAAUUUAUGGAAGCUGAAAGAUAAAGAUUGGGGAAUCUUAAAUUCCUGUAGUGACCGGUGUUAGCAACUUCAGCGGACACCUUUGCAUUGUGGGGGCAGCCGAUUUGCAUUGUGAAGCCAAUUUUAGUUUUCAAAAUUAUAAUAAACGGUGAAGGGAGAUGGGAUAUCACAUAUACUGCUUUCUAGAGUUUACGAGGUGCUUUCAUAAAUUUUCUCUAAGCACAUCUCCAACAGUUUGCUAAAAAUUGUUUGCCAUAUUUUGAGUUUUGACAACUUGCUAAAAGAUUUGGCAAGUUGUCAAAACUCAAAAUAUGGCAAACAAUUUUUAGCAAACUGUUGGAGAUGCUCUUAGAAGAUGCUUUCAUCGAUAGAGUGUUCAUGAAACCAAGCAUAAAAGGUAUACAGCCAAAACCAGCUGGACCAUGAUCUGCAUAUAUACCAAAGGAUGAAGGUGGUUUGGGGGUAAUAGACAUCGAGAAACAUAACCAAGCUCUACUGCUAAAGAAUUUACACAAUAUUUUCAACAAGUCAGACAUUCCUUGGUUUCAUCUCAUUUGGGAAGAGCUUACCCUAAUGGCAGGCUGCCAAAACACACAAAAAAGGAGGUCAUUCUGGCGGAGACAGAUUGAAAGGCUUGCAGACUUACAAAGAAAUGGCUUUGGUGGAUGUCAAAAAUGGUCAAACAUGUUUGUUCUGGCAAGGUACUUGGGGAAAUGUGAAUUUGAGAGCCAACUAGCCUGGACUUUUCUCUUUUGCCAAAAUCAAGUUCAUCUCAGUGGCAAAGGCAUGGAAUCAGAAGAGUCCAAAUCAACUCAUUCACCUUCCAAUGUUUAGAUAUAGCUCAUGAUCAAUGGAAUAGGAGCUCUGGCACCGGACGCGGCUGAAACUCUGUUGAGUGUCCAGUGAGCAGAGACGUCAGCAGGGUCACAACUCACGAGCGAAGGUUUCGGGCAAAGUGCGUCGGACGCUGAGGCGCAUCCGAUGGCAUACCGUCAGACUCAUCUGAUGCAUCUACGAGCAGCUUUGGAACUCUCUGAGUAGCAUCUAGUUUGGGAUAGGAGCAUCCGGUGUGUAGCACCUAGUACGCCCGACGCCUCCUGCACAAGUGUGUUAACAUUUAAGUGACCGUUGGAGAUCAACAGCUCACGUUUAACUGAGGACAUGUGGCAGCAAUCGAGAGCUGUUGGCAGAGCAGUGUCGAAUGUUGAGGGGCGCUUAUAAAUACGUGUUGGCUGGCUUGGCUCGGGGUCUUGGCCAUUUUUAUUGACAUAGUAACCUUGUGAGCCUAGCCAACACACUCUCACUCAAUUGCAUUAUUGUUUGAUCAUCUUUUUGAGAUUGGGGGAGCAUCCAAGUGCAGUGCUUGAGUGUUUGCAUCUAGAGGCACUUGGUGAUCGUGUUUCACUGCAGAAUUCUCUUGUUACUCUUGGAGUUUGCUGACCCCUAGAUGGCUUGCCGGCAUUCUCUAUUGUGAUUAAUUGGCUCAUUCCUCUACGCGGUGGUAUAUCAAUCUUAACCUUUCUUUGCAUUACUUUGCUAGCUAGUUCGUGUAGCUCUCUUGCUUAGCUUAUCAUCGGGCAAGUAGUGACAUAGUUUUGGUGUGCUUCCUAAGAGACUAUAGAAACUAGAUUGGAUAGGAGGCUUGUAUUAUCCUUGUAGAGCUAGUGCCAAAUUCACUCUGCUAUCUUAUAUACUGAUCAAGUGCUUUUAGUAUUGUUGUAGAAAAUUUUAUUAGGCUAUUUACUCAUUCUAGCCAUUAAGACCUUUCAGUGGUUAUCACUAGGGCUUUGCACAACGUGAUUCUAUGACGCACUUAUUUGGAGAUUGUGUGAUGUGUUCUGGAAUAUGAUUGUGAGGGGCUACUAAGUUUAUUUCCCAUCAGAGAGCCAAAAAACUACUCUAUUGGAUAUGAGGCUAGAGGAGCACCUUGAGAUAAGUGCUCACAUAAGAGCCAACCAAGGGAUUGUUGAGCUUGUAGAGGAGCAAAACUUGCCUUAGCGUGGUCAUAACAAAUCAACAAACCGUGAAAAUAUAUCUAGUAUUAUCCUCUUAGUGUGAGUUUUGGAAGAUUGAAGAGAUUUAGUAUGUCACGGAUAUAGAUAAUAAAAUCUAUAUAUCUAAAAAAAGCUAAAAAAAUAUCAUUCGAAAAUUAGAAUAAUUAAAAAUUACUUUUUUUAGAUCGAUACUUUGUUUUGGAUCAACGAGGAAAAAUAACUUAGGGGGUGUUUAGUUUUUUUUUCUAAAAAAUUUUGAGGUUUGGUCCAUCAUUUUACAAAAUGAAACUAAAUACUAUACAAAAUUUUUAGCAAAAAGGUGGUUAUUCUCUAUUUUGGAUUUUGGGCUUAAGAGGCCAAAAAAUCACCAAAAGAGCCUCAAGUGGCUUUAAUGAAAGCAACUCCAAGAGAAGAGCUAUCCAUGUUAUGUAUUCUAUAUUUGGCUAUUUUAGAGAGAAAAGAGAGUCCAACAGCUAUUGUAUUUGGUUUGCUAAAAUAGCAAGUCAUCUAUCCCGGAGUUCUCACAUGGUAAAUAUAGUUUGCAUGUCCCGUUAGCCAUAUGAUUUGCCGUAUUAGAAAGAUUGUUGAAGAUUUUUGUUUUUUUGUAUGAUUGUCUAUUUUAGAAGUUGGCUAAAUCUUGAAUUAAGCCAUCCAUUUUUAUCAACUCUCUUGGAGUUGCUCUACGGGCAAUAAAUUAUGCAUUUUGAAUGGAAUUAAAUAUGACCCUAAAAAUUUUAGCAUUUUACAUUUUAUCACUCUAAAGUAGUUUAACAUUUUGCAUUUUAUUACUCUAAAAUAGUUAUCAUUUUGUAUUUUGAAUUCUACGGAGAACUGAACACCCCUUAAUCAAACUCAAAUAUAUCAUUUCGGUCGCGGACACCCCCAAAAUCCAUCAGACCUCCGGCCCCGGCGACGCCCAAACCCUCGCCGUCGCGCCGUCUCCAAAAACCCCUUACCAUGGCCGCCGCGACAGCCGCGGGGGCCGGAGCUGCGACCCCGCAGCCGCCACGGCAGUACAAGCUAGCUCCGCAGAGCGAGCUGCGUGUGGAGGUGCUCCCCGACGCGCCCCUCCGAGUGCGCCUCGUCACCGGCACGGCGGAGAUCUUCGGCACCGAGCUGCCCCCGGAGGGCUGGGUCCCCGUCCCUCCCCGAUCCAAGAUCGCCGUAAGCAAACCCAGUGGCCCCUUGUCCUGCUUUUGCGGCCAUAGUUCGUCGGUGUUGAUUUCAGUCCCCGUUUGUUUUUGUUUGGUCAGAUUUUCACCUGGCACGGCGCGACGGUGGAACUGGAUGGGGUGAGCGAGAGCGAGUACUCGUCUGACGAGGUGAGCGCUCGGUGUCCUCCUCCUCCUCCUCCUCCUCUCUCUCUCUCUCUCUCUCUCGCAUCGUUUCUGUGUAAAUUUGGGAAUAAUGAGGUUCUUGGGGGGUGAUGCUGUGGUGAGAUGAUUCUGUUAUUGUGGGUUACAGACUCCAAUGGUAAUUUACGUCAACACGCACGCCAUUCUGGAUGCCCGUAGGGCAAGGGCGAGGGCUGCUGCAGCUCAGGGGGGCGAUAUGGAGGCCUCACAGGUGAGUUAUCCUGAAUUCCUGAUUCAGUUCAUCUCAUGACCAUUCGAUUGUAGUGUUGUUGCAUAGUUGCGUAUCUGUAGGAGAUGCAAAGCUUUAUCCCAUAGAACAAAUGUGCAGAACAACCAAACACCAAGACACUGCAUAUGUUUAUGUUGACUUAGGCUGCAUACGUUUAUGUUGACUUAGGCUGAGGCUGAUACAAGCAAGCAACCAGACCCUAUAUUUAUCUCAUUUUCCCUGGACUAUUUCACUGAAGUUUUCUCCCUAUAUCUGGCUUAGGGACCUAGAGUGAUUGUUGUGGGGCCAACAGAUUCCGGAAAAAGUACUCUCUGCAAGAUGCUCCUUAGCUGGGCUGCCAAACUGGGCUGGAAGCCUACAUAUGUCGAUUUAGAUAUUGGCCAGGGGUCUAUAACAAUCCCUGGAUGUAUUUCUGCCACACCAAUUGAGAAACCUAUAGAUAUAGUUGAUGGGAUUCCCUUGGAAAUGCCACUUGUAUACUUCUAUGGCCACUCAAGUCCAAGGUAUCCCUCCACUUUGUUCUUUGGCAGUUGAUACUACUCGGAGCUUUCUGCAUUAACACUGUUCCUUUGUCUACUGUUUUGACACUUUAACCUUUGCUUGUGUUACCAACAGUAUUAAUGCGGAUGUUUACAAAGUUCUUAUGAAGGAGCUAGCUAAAACAUUGGAGAAACAGUUCUCUGGCAAUGCUGAAUCUAGGGCAGCAGGAAUGGUUAUCAAUACAAUGGGGUGGGUUGAAGGCCUUGGGUAUGAGGUUAGUGGUUGGCUUCAAGUAACUAAUGGCCAUUUUCCAGAUUCAUACUGUUCCCCUGUGUGUAGCAAGUGAUAAUUCAUUUUUACGCUCUGCAGUUACUUCUUAAUGCAAUUGAGACCUUCAAGGCCAAUGUAGUACUGGUACUGGGACAGGCAAGUUCUGCAUUGUUUUGUUUAUGUGAACAUUACUGGGUUUUUUUCAGAAGGUUUAUGCUGUAGUUGACUCAUGCUGUGUUUCAUUUCACACUCAUAACUGCUCAAACAUAGACUAUAUUAUUUGUUCAACUUAUAGCCAAAUGCCAUGGGCAACCAAACAUUUUGUUAUAGCAGUAUGCUAUAGUCAAGGUUCCAUGUUAAUCAUUUUAAAGUUAGAAGUAAAACUUCCCUAUAAAAUCAUUCAUAAAAGAAUUUAGACCCUAUUGAGUAAGAUGAUAUUUGUUUUUGGGGCUGGUAGAGACAUCUUGGGCACUAGUAGGAAUGUGUUGCAGCAGUAAAUAGCAGCUAAUCUCAAGUAGAAACAAAACAUAUUCUGCUAGCAGUAUCCCUUUUAGCAUGUUUUCUUAUAAACAUCAUUAUCACUAUGCUUCAUUGAUGCAUCAAGUGUGCUAUAUGGAAGUUAAUUGAGAUAUUUCUUUUCAAAUAAACCAAAAGAAAAUCUGGGCCAUAUGAAGAAACCUCAGCUGCUGAAAAUAAAGGUUUCUACUGACAUGUCUAAUUCUAGAUAAUAGUCAAAAGAGUGCUCAGGUUGCAGCAACUGAUAUAUUCAGAAUGAUGAAGAGAGAAAAGGUGCAUAUAAGCACAAGUGUCAAGUAGGAAAAAUGGCAGAUGUCACUAACUGCAACUAUUAGCAUGUAUGAUUUGUCAUAUUGGCACACAUUACAGCGUGAAUGAUAAUGAUAUAAAGUGCUCUAGAGAGCUCUUCAAUAUUAGUCAUUUUAUCUUGAAUGUAAAAUCAUGUAUAAUUAUGAAUCCAUAUGAUAAUGAAGCCCUUCUGGGUAUUAUCUGAUCUAUCUUAUGGCUUGCAGGAGAAACUCUGGAAGAUGUUAAAAGAUGCAGUUCAAAGCAAGUCCAACAUUGAUGUUGUAAAACUUCACAAAUCAGAGGGUGUUGUCCUCAGAAAUACAAAAUAUCGGCAAAAAACGAGAAGCUUCCGAAUCAGGGUAAGCUAUUUUUCUGGAGUAGAAAGUGACCAGCUAUGCCCUCAAACAUUGGUUUAAACUAAAAAGGCUUUGUUUGUUAUCUAAUGUGAAAUUUUAUUGAUGGUAGCAUAGUUGUCAUCAUUGUACACCGUCACAGUCUUAGCCUCUUUUCUUUUUCCCCUCUUCUAAUGUUGCCCUUACUGCCUUUAUGGGGUAAUGUUUCACUGUCUCAACCUUAUGUUUUGAUCUGUCUUGUUAAAGCUAAGUCCUAAUUUGCUCUUGCAGGAAUAUUUUUAUGGGAUUGCAAAUGAUCUUGCACCGCACUCAAACAUUGUCAAUUUCAGUCAUGUCUCGGUGUACAAAAUCGGUGGUGGCCAUCAAGCUCCCCGUUCAGCAUUACCUAUCGGUGCAGAGCCUGUGGCAGAUCCUACUCGACUUGUUGCUGUCAACAUCAGCACGGAUAUGAUCCAUACAGUGCUUGCCAUUUCCUAUGCUAAGGAACCUGAUGAAAUAAUUUCUAGGUAAUAAUUUCAUACCAGGUUUAACUUAUGUUACAGGCUUGGUCCAAUAAGAGAGCUUUUAUGCAAAAGAGACUCGGAUUAGAGGUAGUAGAUCACAAAAGGCUACAUUAUUCAGAGUACAGCUGAUACGCCAUCCUUCAGAAAAUUAAAAUUAAAAUACAUGGUGCAAGUAAUUGAUCCUUGGAUUUGCUUGCAUGUUGUUCUACCACAUUUUAAGUCUCUCAAAUUCAACGAUAGCUUAGCUUAGCCACUUCUUGAAUUCUCUUCUGCGCAUCUUUUGCAUGAACAGGUGCACAGCUAUGCCCCUCCUAGCCAUAAGCUCGUAAGUUCAUGACAAUUCCAUCUUGCUUAUGUUACUGAUAUACUCUUUUGAGUGUCGUCAGCAAUAAAUCAUAUUUAGAUAUAGAUAUGAGAAGCCAAAGUCUUCUGACUAGUCUAUCUUGCAAAAAGGUUUUCAUCUGUCAAGUGGCUCAAAUCCUGGCAAUAAAUAUUUUGUUAGGAAUGAUUUUAGUUGUCAUGCACUCAUGCUUUGGACAAAGAUGGUAUAGACGAUAUUUUUCUUUUAGUGUGUUCAUAUUGGGCAUGAUGAAAAUUUACUAGUGUGGUUGCUGCUGGACCACUUUUUUUAUUUUUCCGUACAACUUUCUUUGAACUCUUCCUUUACUAUUAGCAAGAUCGGCAGAAUUUUCAGCUUUCAUUCCAUUACAAGUUGCAUUACCUUUCUUGAUAUACGUUUAACACCUGCUACACGAUACAUUGCAGCAAUAUUGCCGGAUUCAUUCAUGUUACUGAUGUUGACAUCCAAAGGUAUGCUUAGGAGACAGCGCUAAUAUGCGAGUUUUUAGAUUAUCAGUGUGCACCAAGAACUAACAUUCUACAUUCUAGGAAGAAGCUGACGUACAUUGCACCUUGCCCGGGGGACUUACCAAGCAGGCUGUUGAUCGCGAGUUCACUGACAUGGUACGAAGCCUGAUCAAUCGAAGUUAGAUGUGCACUGACAUGCCCAUUUGCAUGUUGUAAAGCCAGGACAUGUGACGCUGGAACUGAACUGAGCGUUCGAUGUCCCACUGCUAACCAAGAGAAACGAUGCAAGGCCAAACAUCCUGUUCACGCUUAUGAUUUCAUGUGUUCUGAUUUCUUCUCGUGAUUAAACGUCAUCAUCUACUGUGCGGUUGAGAUAACGAAAUUCUUGUCCUAGUUUUCACCCAGUGGAUUUUUAAAAAUGAAUAGAGCUGUGGAUUAUGCGUCAUCUCAUCUGUACAUACUGAAUGAUCUGGAUGUACCAUAAAUGGUACUAGAAACACUGCGAAACUAUUGUAGCCAUCACAUGUAUGUAGAAUGAAACGGCAAGGCGCCAACCAACAUUAUACGCACAUUAGAUCGUGAAACCAUUUUAGCAUCACAUGAAUGUAGAAUGAAACAGCAAAUCAGAUUGGGAUUCCGCGACUAAAAUCUGACAGAAUUUAUUCAGCCACGCGGAUGACACAUCCCUAAGCCGAAAUAAAAACAUAGCAGGGGCGUUGCUACUGUGACUUCCAUUCACUGUCUACAAAUAAUACAAAGUCGACGUACAACAGAAACGAAAAGAAAAAUCCACUGGCACUUAACUUUUAACAUCUUGUAUAAAGAUCGAGAAAGCAGCAACAAAAUCUCCAAACAAAUGAAUUGGGAGACGUACAGGUCGGGCUCAUGGAACCCAUAUCUAAGGACAGAAGAUCUACAGACCCUGAUGUUGCGGAUGAGAGGAGCAUCAACACCAGUAAGUUAAGGUCACCACCACAAUUACAAAAAGUAGUCUGGGGUUUUGCGGGUUGUGUCUGGCUCAAUUUGCCGAGGUGCCGGGUCAAAUUGAAGGAAGUUCUGGUCCAUGUUUUCCCCAAUUUCAAGAAUAGCAGCCAUGUUACCACAUCGGUAACAAUAGUUAGGCGCACUGAAGACUGUGACUACAUUCUUAUCCUGCAAAAAUUAUAACAAUAACCAUUUAAGCUUCCAGUGGGAUAGUAUCUGGGCAAAAUAACAUUCAAAGGGCAGCACACCAAAGAUAAAUAAUCAGCAAGUUGCAACCACAAGGGUGCCUAGGGCUAUGCUCACAACAAAGGCUAUUGUUUGCAAGUCUUUCUAUUGACAAAAACAAUGUAUCUAGAGAAGCCAAAACAUCUUAUAAUUUGGAACGAAGGGAGUAAGUUCUAUGAGAAAAGAAAUCCACAAUGGUCAUAUCGUAACUGCAAGCUGAGCUAGAGAGGAACUACAAAGAUUAUAUUCACAAUUUAGUGUACUUUUUCAUGAUAACAAUCCAAUUGGUUGAGCAAAUAAACAAAUUGAAAAUGCAACGCUACAUUCUGAAGACCUACCUGGCACCAAUUAAAUCCUUCCAUUACAAGUUGAUGGGCCCUUGAAAUGAGAGAGAGACCAUUUGUAUGGUUGAACUGCUGCGCAAUGUCUUGCCCAAAUGUGUAACCUGCUCCUCUUGGUGAAAUUCCCCAUCCACAUCGGUCAUCUGGGUCAGACCACAAAAGAUCACACAUGGGUCCUUCAUGAGGAACCUGCACACAUUUUUUUUAGGUAUAUGAGUUGAGGAUUAAAAAGAUUAGAUGUAUAAUGCAUUCAAUUAAUACAGCGCAAGAAUUAGCAAACUAUCAAUUCAAGAUCCAUCACAUUGGGCACCAUUUCCUAGCACCCAUAAGCAUCACCUCAACAUUCAGGGCAAGGGGCACUAUCAGGUUAGUUAUACACAUAAUAAUGUGCAUAACAAAGUACGGUGGCCUCAAAAAAAAAUAGGUCUCUAACAAACCCUGUAAUCAUAGCAACAGAAAUUCGAAGUACCUUCUUAAAAUAGUUCACUAUCAGAUGCAAAUGUUUCACAAACAAAUAUGCAUGUGCUGGCAAUAUUAUAAGCAAUAAGCAAACCUCAUUGCAAAUGACUACUGGUUGGUCACUUCACUAAUAGUGAGAUGUCAGCCUCAAGCACCAUGCUGUCUUUUUCUUGGGAACUAUCAAGCAAUAAGCACCUACGGAAGCAGACUUAAUAUGGCUCCACUGGCAAAUCAUCCCAUAUUCCCAUGCUGCCUUCUUCUUGGGAACUAUCAAGUUUGGUCCUUGGAAAAGAAUUUUUAAGAGCUGGGGGGGCUCUAAGAUGCAAAUUCUUCUUUCGUUAGCCAUCAAUACCGGUAUUGGAUGGCUGAUUGCAUUGCAAAGCACCGAUUGCCUCAUCAGCCUGCCUACCUGUUUCGUGAUCAGGCUGAGGAAGCAAUUUAGCACGUCUUAAUCUCUUGUGUGUUCAACCUGCAGGUCUUGACUAUGGUUUUUAAGAAAGUUUCCAUGGUUGCAGUUGCACCUCCAGUUGAUGCAACUCACUUCUUUACAGCAUGUUUGGUUUGCGUCAUGAAGCAGUUCGGAAUCAUCCGAUCCAAAAUCCAAGCCUAGCUGAGACCAUUUGGUUUGUGUUGCGUCAUCAACUCGUUCAUCAUGGAACUGUUCCACGUGCGGCGUUCCCAUGAACCAACAGCGAGCUCAUCUCUCAGGCAAAGUCAUUCCGCAAAAAACGUCAGACAAGCUGAUUCUUUUUGGUGCCUGACCAGCCCAUCGGAAUGGAUUCAAUCUCCAAACCAAACAGGCUAUUAGAUAGUGAGGAACACUAUCAGAAUUCAGAAAUAUUCCCAAGGAGAUGCCACAAGGGGCUGAACUCCUUGGCCCUUUUAGUGGCCUAGGAAGUAAACAUAGGAAUGCCUGUGUGUCUGAUGGAGAUUUGCCAAACAUUCUGGGUCUCCUAAAAACAGUGGUUGAUGAGUGUAGUAUAUGGUGCAUGGUGGGUGCUUCUAAUCUCCAGGAUCGCUCUUUAGGUCAUUUGCCCCAUAACUUUUAGGUUCUAGUUGGUAGGUUAAACCCCUUGGUUGUGAUCUCUACUUCAGUCAGUGGCGAAUGUUUUUUUUAGAUAGCCGGUUGUGGUGUGUUUGGGUGGGGCUGUUUUAGCUUGCCCUCAUACCUUUCUUCUCCUGCAUCGUUUGAGAAAAAUGAUACCUCAAAUCAGUCACUGAUUAACACUAAAUGGUACCAAGUAUAGAUCAAGGUAAAUCCCUUGUAUUGCUAAGUGCACGUGCAAAGUGACAGAAUAAGUGUUGGAAAAUGUCAGCUUUCAAUAUAAACUUUCAUGAUUCAACCACGUGCCUAUAUUUGCUGAUUUUUAGUUGUCGUGCUUUAGUUCUCCUUAGGUAAGCCCAUUCCAUGAGAAGAUUAAACGAUGUUAAGUGUCCCUCUAAAAUCAAAAUGUCGUUACAAAAUUGUAUCGGCAUGACUUGAGAUAAUUAAAUAUGGCGGCAUCUGUCUAGAUAAAUAACUGUAUCAUGGUUAGAGCACCAUGUUUGUACCUUAAUCGGUAUUAAGGAUCCACAGUUCUGUACAUAAACAGUAAACAUUAGGACCACAUCGGACAUGGCUGAUCUACUAGUUGCACAUACCCAAAAAUACAUAAAUAUGUUAAUUCUCCCAACAUCACAAAACUACCUACAGCAUAUCAGUGUUACUAAGCAAUUUUAUCAAAUCAUUCAGUUGACACUAGUUGCCAGCCUGAUUAGUCAAGCCUAGUCGGUUAGUCAUCCUAUAUAGUUAGGACUGAUAUAACAAUAUUAGAAUCUAUAAUCUACUAUCUACUAUACCUAACUAGGAGAACCCCACUAGCAGAUUUCUCUGCAAUUUUGUGAAGCCACGUCAUGCCACAAGCCCCACCAAGUUACUAAGCUCGGUCACUAAAUUACAAUCCCAUUAAAUAUAAUCAGAAAAUGAAGAGACAACGAUGAACUCCAAAUAAAUUGCAUUCCUAGCUGCUCAACCAUGCAAUCCAUUUACCCCAUUCCUCUCCUAUUAAUUAAUCAAUUUAGCUUGCAGCGAACAUCUUUUCACAUUCACGGUGCUAUCACCACUCCCACUUCCCAUUAAGGCUAAACAAAGUAGUACAUUAGUAAUGAACAUGCAUUAAUUUUCCUUCUCCACUUGUAACAGCUAUGCCAACAAGAGUAUAUAUAUUGGACUUUUUCUAUGCCCCACAUUUCUUUGGCAAGGGUCAGUGACUCUUAUGAAGUUGGAAAUAUUACUUUGGAUAUUCAUCCUCAUCCACCAAAUCCGCUAUUUAUGCCUCGGUAGGAAAUAUCAAUUGGCACUUCGUGUUUAAAGUCCAUUAGAUGUUUUUGUCUAAUCAUGAAUAGGAUUAUGUUUGAUUUAUAUCUAUAGGAUGUCGCAGCAUAAUUUGCACUGGGAGAAUAGGGGCUUCACUGAAUCUGUCUAAAAUGUUGGGAAGACUUUGCACUGAAUGAUGUUCACUUCUCCAAUAGCAAACAAUAGAUUAAGGAUGGCAUUUUUAAUUUCUUCGCACAAGCAGUGCAAGUAGGCAGGACAAUUAUACUGCCCGACUAGCUGACUAGCCACCGACCAAUUGAACCUGGGGCCUGUUUGGUUACCAGGCCAACCUUUGGACAGGCCAGCUGGGGCUAACAUUGGGUUGUUUGGUUUCAUGACUUUGGGCCUUAGCCAGGCUUCUGCUGGCCGCCCUACAGGCCUUAGCCUGGCUCCCAGAGAACAGGUUGCCGGUCCGUUUUUCUGGAGAAUGGCUUGGCCAGUGCUCCGUCUCUCAUCCCCUCACCUCCUGGUCCUUCACAGUUCACACGCAGUGAGCCAAAAGGCAGCGAGGUCCGCCAACUCCUCCCCUCCCCGCCAGUGGGUGGUCCCCUGCUCUGCUCGUCGCCGGGGGGGGGGGGGGGGGGGGGUGGGGGGGUGGGGGAGGUCGACGGAAAGCGGGAAGCUCAUCCCUGUUCGUCCUCCUUGCCGCGGCCAUGGCGACAGGAAGCUCAGGGAGGCACCUACGACGUUCUCCCCAGUUCGCCAUUACCACCGUGGUGGAUCCACCCCUCCCUCCCCAGCCCACCAUUACCACCGCGGGGCAGGGGAGACCCAUCAGCGGCGAGAUGUGGGCGGCGGAGGCGGUGUUCUCGCGCUCGAGAUCGUGGCGGGAGGCGGAGGACGAGCAGGAGGCGCUGCAGCGGCUCCCCACCGUCACCCGCGCGCAAUGGGGCUGCUCAGGUCCCUGGCUCCUGACGAGGCCAUGGCCGUCGACGGGGAUGACGUGCUCUACAUGGUCGACCGCCUUCUCGCCGACUGGGGUACACGAGACGACAAAGCCGACUGGGGUGGUGUGUAGAGGGCCGCACCAAGGAGGUGGAUGACCAAGGCACGCCAGCGUUCCCAGCACUGCUCACCAUGCUCGUCAUGCUGUUAGGAUGCCUACAACGUGUUUGAUGAAAUCCCUGAAUGAGGGUAAACUUACUCACAUGGAUAAGAGGUGAUCCUAUCCAAAACAAUCCAGGCAACCAAACACACCCUGUGCUAGCCAGGCCUAGAUAACACGGACAACCAAACAACUAGAGAUUGGCUUGACAGAAGCAGGUUAAGCCUACCCAGACU
rnacentral:lncRNA from 1 species